ensembl:snRNA U6 U6 spliceosomal RNA
GUACUUGCUUCGGCAGCACUAAUACUAAAAUUGGAAUGAAAUGGAAGAUUAGCCUGGCCCUUGAGUAAGAAUGACAGUCAAAGUCAUGAAAAGUUCCAGAUUUUU